rnacentral:rRNA from 1 species
GAUGAACGCUAGCGGCAGGCUUAACACAUGCAAGUCGAGGAGUAUAGUAGCAAUACUAGAGACCGGCGCACGGGUGCGUAACGCGUAUGCAAUCUACCUUAUACAGGGGGAUAGCCCAGAGAAAUUUGGAUUAAUACCCCAUAGUGUUAUUUGAUGGCAUCAUUAUAUAACUAAAGUUCCAACGGUAUAAGAUGAGCAUGCGUCCUAUUAGCUAGAUGGUAAGGUAACGGCUUACCAUGGCUACGAUAGGUAGGGGUCCUGAGAGGGAGAUCCCCCACACUGGUACUGGGACACGGACCAGACUCCUACGGGAGGAAGCAGUGAGGAAUAUUGGACAAUGGGCGCAAGCCUGAUCCAGCCAUGCCGCGUGCAGGAAGACGGUCCUAUGGAUUGUAAACUGCUUUUGUACGGGAAGAAACACUCCCUCGUGAGGGAGCUUGACGGUACCGUAAGAAUAAGGAUCGGCUAACUCCGUGCCAGCAGCCGCCGUAAAAC